rnacentral:rRNA from 1 species
CAGGCGGCCUUUCAAGUCUGCUGUUAAAACGUGGAGCUUAACUCCAUCAUGGCAGUGGAAACUGAUAGGCUUGAGUAUGGUAGGGGCAGAGGGAAUUCCCGGUGUAGCGGUGAAAUGCGUAGAUAUCGGGAAGAACACCAGUGGCGAAGGCGCUCUGCUGGGCCAUUACUGACGCUCAUGGACGAAAGCCAGGGGAGCGAAAGGGAUUAGAUACCCCUGUAGUCCUGGCCGUAAACGAUGAACACUAGGUGUCGGGGGAAUCGACCCCUUCGGUGUCGUAGCUAACGCGUUAAGUGUUCCGCCUGGGGAGUACGCACGCAAGUGUGAAACUCAAAGGAAUUGACGGGGGCCCGCACAAGCGGUGGAGUAUGUGGUUUAAUUCGAUGCAACGCGAAGAACCUUACCAGGGUUUGACAUCCUGCGAACCUCUUAGAAAUUUGAGGGUGCCUUCGGGAAUGCAGUGACAGGUGGUGCAUGGCUGUCGUCAGCUCGUGUCGUGAGAUGUUGGGUUAAGUCCCGCAACGAGCGCAACCCACGUUUUUAGUUGCCAGCAUUUAGUUGGGCACUCUAGAAAGACCGCCGGUGAUAAACCGGAGGAAGGUGUGGAUGACGUCAAGUCAUCAUGCCCCUUACACCCUGGGCUACACACGUACUACAAUGCUACGGACAAAGGGCAGCAAACUCGCGAGAGCUAGCAAAUCCCAUAAACCGUGGCUCAGUUCAGAUCGUAGGCUGCAACUCGCCUACGUGAAGUAGGAAUCGCUAGUAAUCGCAGGU